GAUUGAACGCUGGCGGCAGGCCUAACCCAUGCAAGUCGACCGGUAACCGGAAACAGCUUGCUGUUUCGCUGACGAGUGGCGGACGGGUGAGUAAUGUCUGGGAAACUGCCUGAUGGAGGGGGAUAACUACUGGAAACGGUAGCUAAUACCGCAUAACGUCGCAAGACCAAAGAGGGGGACCCUCGGGCCUCUUGCCAUCGGAUGUGCCCAGAUGGGAUUAGCUUGUUGGUGGGGUAACGGCUCACCAAGGCGACGAUCCCUAGCUGGUCUGAGAGGAUGACCAGCCACACUGGAACUGAGACACGGUCCAGACUCCUACGGGAGGCAGCAGUGGGGAAUAUUGCACAAUGGGCGCAAGCCUGAUGCAGCCAUGCCGCGUGUAUGAAGAAGGCCUUCGGGUUGUAAAGUACUUUCAGCGGGGAGGAAGGGAGUAAAGUUAAUACCUUUGCUCAUUGACGUUACCCGCAGAAGAAGCACCGGCUAACUCCGUG
rnacentral:rRNA from 1 species